rnacentral:misc_RNA from 1 species
UCCACGUUAUCCGUGGCAGUCCCCCUAGAGUGCGCCCUUGCGGGCUGGCAACUAAGGGCGAGGGUUGCGCUCGUUGCGGGACUUAACCCAACAUCUCACGACACGAGCUGACGACAGCCAUGCAGCACCUCUAUCGCGGCCCCUUGCGGGGAGACCGGCUUUCACCGGCUGUCCUGCCCAUGUCAAGCCCUGGUAAGGUUCUUCGCGUAGCUUCGAAUUAAACCGCACGCUCCGCUGCUUGUGCGGGCCCCCGUCAAUUCCUUUGAGUUUCAACCUUGCGGUCGUACUCCCCAGGCGGGGUACUUCCUGCGUUAGCGCCGGCACCCAAGGGGUCGCUCCCCCAGGCACCUAGUACCCAUCGUUUACGGCGUGGACUAC